GGGCACAUGGUGUAGUUGGUUUAUCACGCCUGCUUAGCAUGUAUGUUGUAUAUGCGGGAGGUGUUGGGUUCAAUUCCCAAUGCGUCCA
rnacentral:tRNA from 1 species